UACGUAGGGGGCAAGCGUUGUCCGGAAUUACUGGGCGUAAAGGCGCGUAGGCGCCUUCUAAGUCGAACGUGAAAUCCCCGGGCUCAACCCGGGAACCUGCGUCCGAGUACUGGGAGGCUUGAAUCCGGGAGAGGGAUGUGGAAUCCUGGUGUAGCGGUGGAAUGCGCAGAUAUCAGGAGGAACACCCCGUGGCGGAAGGCGGUUCUCUGGGACGGUACUGGACGCUGAGACGCGAAAGCGUGGGGAGCGAACAGG
rnacentral:rRNA from 1 species